GACGAACGCUGGCGGCGUGCUUAACACAUGCAAGUCGAACGAAGUGGCGAACGGGUGAGUAACGCGUAAUCAACCUGCCCUUCAGAGGGGGACAACAGUUGGAAACGACUGCUAAUACCGCAUACUGAAGGAGGGGAUUGCGUCUGAUUGGCUAGUUGGCGGGGUAACGGCCCACCAAGGCGAUGGUCAGUAGCCGGGCUUGGAGGUUGAAUGGCCCAAUUGGGAACGGGAACAGGCCCAGACCACUACGGGAGGCAGGAGUGGGGAAUCUUCCGCAAUGGAGGAAAGUCUGACGAAGCAACGCCGCGGGAGUGAUGACGGCCUUCGGGUUGUAAAGCUCUGUUAAUCGGGACGCGGUACCGGAAUAGAAAGCCACGGCUAACUACGUGCCAGCAGCCGCGGUAAUUC
rnacentral:rRNA from 1 species